GUGGUCAUUCUUCCAUAGCAGCAGUACUAAGUAGUGUACUGAUGCCUAUGAAGCCACAUAGAGUGAGGUUGGUUCCUGCCGACAGGGCCUGGCAAGGCAUUGGGUUCCCUGUGCGAUGGUUCCCAACACA
ensembl:scaRNA SCARNA14 small Cajal body-specific RNA 14